rnacentral:rRNA from 1 species
GUAAUAAAUUGAACGGCAUCGUUUGAUUUUGAAGCUCGGCGGUUUGAGAUGAGUAUGCGUCUGAUUAGCUAGUUGGUGAGGUAACGGCUCACCAAGGCGACGAUCAGUAGGGACCUGAGAGGACUAACCCCCACACUGGUACUGAGACACGGACCAGACUCCUACGGGAGGCAGCAGUAAGGAAUAUUGGUCAAUGGAGGCAACUCUGAACCAGCCAUGCCGCGUGCAGGAUGACGGCCCUAUGGGUUGUAAACUGCUUUUAUACAAGAGAAAACCCUGGUACGUGUACCAAGUUGAUAGUAUUGUAAGAAUAAGCAUCGGCUAACUUCGUG